rnacentral:tRNA from 3 species
CGGGAUGUGGCCUAGUUGGUAAGGCGCUUGUCUGGGGGGCAAGAGAUCGCGUGUUCAAGUCACGUCAUUCCGA